rnacentral:rRNA from 1 species
UACGUAGGGGGCAAGCGUUGUCCGGAGUUACUGGGCGUAAAGCGCACGCAGGCGGUCGAUUAAGUUUGGAGUGACAGUUGGUGGCUUAACUGCCAAAGUGCUUUGAAAACUGAUCGACUUGAGGGCUUCAGAGGGACACGGAAUUCCGGGUGGAGUGGUGAAAUGCGUAGAGAUCCGGAGGAACACCAAUGGCGAAGGCAGCAAACUGGUCAUCAACCGACGCUGAGGCGCGAAAGCGUGGGUAGCAAACAGG